rnacentral:ncRNA from 2 species
GUUUCCCUAGCUGGAGAGAGGUUGCCGCCCGUUCGACAUGGCUGGCAGCCCACCGAAGGAGCAAACCCCGCCAUGCGGCGCGGUGAAUCUCUCAGGUAAAGCGGACAGCGGGGCACAU